UCAAGACUCGGAUCAAAUAUAGCAAGCAAUGCUGCAUUACUUAAGUCCCGACAUAUAGCCUGCCAUUCCUUUUCGUGGGUUGGUGUCCAAUCAAAGAUGACGCCUUGUUUGACGAGAGAUCGUAAAGUAGACGUGCGCUGCGAGAGUGACGGUAGGUUAACGACUCCCAGCAGUCUUUGUACCGCCGAUUUGUCCUGAGGUUUUGGCAUUUUUAAAGACCGUCAACGAGAUCUGGAUUUGGCCUAAUGCCCUUGUCGCUAAUGAUGUCACCCAGGAAGAGUACUUCUUGCAGGCCAAAGCGACACUUGGAUGCAUUGAAGGUGCGCGCCCACGUGUGCUCCAGCCGAAAGUGGUCUGCAGCGCUGAGCUUGGGUGAGGAGUGCAAGUGCAAAUCCGGGGAUGAUUAGUCAUCGGCACAAGCUUCAUUCACCGACGAUCACUCUAACGGUGCAGGUGGAUCGAGCAUCUCUGGAACACUGUCGGCGUCAGCAGUUGCCGAAGACGACUUAAGAAUGCACAGCCGCACGAUUUCCCUCUUCAUUCUCUGCUUGAUCAUCGCGGUUGCUGCUCCAGCAGCCGCCAAUAGCCAGCUGGGACCAGUGACUGGUUUCGUCUCAGACCUCUUCAACAAUAUUAUACGGGUUGUCGACGCGGGAAUAAAGGAAGGUAUGGCCGUGCUGGGCCGUCGAGAACAGACACUGACUCCGACACCUGCUGAGGGGGCAACUAAAUAACCCCGAGCCAGCGAAUCAAUGAAAUGCAACUAAUUUCGACUCUGCACGUCCUAUGUUGUUUCUUCGGCAUAUGACUUAGCUGCUCAAUAAACCUCAAUACUAGUGA